rnacentral:rRNA from 1 species
AUGUCGGCCGACGAGAUCAGGGCCGAGAUCAACACCCUUAUCGCCUCCAAGUUCGCCGAGGGUACGGUGGAUCAGUAUUUCUUGCAGCUGUACGUGAUGUGGAGGUACCGGAAGAUACGCAAGGGCCUGGUCGUCGAGGUCAUUGAACGCUACCUCCACGACGCCGACAAGAUCCUCACCGAAAUCGCCGUCUUGCUGAACCAGCCCCAGCUGGACUACGACAAGGUGGAGGGGAUCGCGGAAAAGCUCGAGGGGUGCAGCAGCAGCAGUGUUGGUGCUAAGAGAGUCAACCUCUCGUGCGUGGAGUACUUACAUCCUGAGGCAAAAACCAAAGAAGGGGACCAGCCAGUGCUGGACUUCGACAGGGUGGACGCCCUCGUGCAGCAGCUCAAGGGGUGUAGCUCCAGUGUUGGUGCUAACAAAGUGAGCGUCUCAUGCAUGCACUUCCGUCGGUUCAAUCAUGCAAAAACCAAAGAAGGGUACCUCAUGGCAUUGGCUCCUGUUAUGAAUGAGUUCUAUGAUGUGCGGAACAUGUUCCUGACCAUACUGCAGCUGGAGGAACAGAUUGAUGCCUUGAGCCCUAAGUACUAG